UGCAGCCUGAAGUGGUGCCCUCUAACCCUGUAAGAGCAGCAGAAGUUGUGGUAAGGAGAACUGUGAGAAGUACGGCGGGUCAGCAUUCUAACCUGCACCACCUCCCACGAGCUGUAGGUACAGGGACAGUGUCCAGUAUAGCGACUAACCCUUUUGGUACAUUCUUUCGCCCUUGGAAUUAGGCUCUUCGAUUAAUGAUAUGUUUAGUUCACCGUCGGGGCGACGUUGCAGAAAUUGGGGGUGGAAUGUGAUGGUGUAGUGCAGCUGAUUGGCAUUGACAUCGGCCAAUCGGCACGUAGCACCGCCUUUUUAAACCUGAUUGGUCGGUGCUUGGGAUACGUCACGUCCGACUCCGACGCACUGGUUUGGGUGUCUGUAGCCGCGGCUACAGUGCAUCGUGUGGCGGUGGCUUUUCCCUUGGCUGUGGUGGCUGGAUGACUGUUCAGUUGCAGCUAUUAAUUCCGGCACCUCGCUGUAUUGUAUCGACCAACGAGUGAUUUAGAACGUGUCUGAGUGUGCGCCCAUUGGAACUGAGGUUUCCCCCGGUGGAUGACGGGUCACUUUCCACUGGUGGUGGUGUUUCUCUAUCGUGUGCUGUGGACACUGAGUGCGUGAUAGCGUGAUUUUUGAGUGCACUGUGGUGUGUGCGUGUGCUGGGGUAAAGUCUGUCCACUCGUACCCAGUCAGUGGGAACCUCCAAUCCUGGUUUGGUUUUGUUUAUUUAUUGUUUCUUGUGUUUAAUAAUGAAGUGGGAGUUUUUGAUGUAUUUUUAAGAACCGUACCAUUUGGUAGUUUUAUUCCAAAUAAAUAUUUUUGUACUUUUUCAUUAA